rnacentral:pre_miRNA from 1 species
AGAGGAAUUUCUGGAUCAUAUGUCCACUAUAUGUUUAGCUUUUUGAGGAACUGCAAAACUAUUUUCCAAAGCGGCUGCACCCUAUCCACUCCCACCAGCAAU